GCUAAUCACCAUUCCAGAUUGAAUAUACCCGAUCUCGUCUGAUCUCGGAAGUCAAGCAAUCUCGGGCUUGGUUAGUACUUGGAUGGGUGACCGCUUGGGAAUACCAAGUGUGACAAGCA
rnacentral:rRNA from 1 species